AUUUAAAAGAAGAAAAACUACCACAACAAGAGGACAUGGUCUUAAAUUAGAGGGACAAAGGUUUAAAAAUAUCAGGAAGUAUUACUUUACUGAGAGGGUAGUGGAUGCAUGGAAUAGCCUUACAGCUGAAGUGGUAGAGGUUAACACAGUAAAGGAGUUUAAGCAUGCGUGGGAUAGGCAUAAGGCUAUCCUAACUAUAAGAUAAGGCCAGGGACUAAUGAAAGUAUUUAGAAAAUUGGGCAGACUAGAUGGGCCAAAUGGUUCU
rnacentral:lncRNA from 1 species